AAACUCCCCGUGGUGAGCAGGCCUCUGGGAGCCACACAGCUGGGCACUGGCUACAGUGUUGGGAAGUUGGCUGACACAGUGCCACUCAGGACUGGUGUCCAGUUGAUUUGCAGGAGCUCCUUCUGAAAGCAGGGCAUAAUCCCCGCCUCGGCACUUUCUGAGGAUCACCUGGGCUGGCGGUCCUUCUCAGGCGUGAUGGCAUAGGCCAGUUUCUAAGAGAGAACGAGUCGUUGGUGUUGGCAUCUGCAGGUGCCCACCCACCAGCAUGAACCAACGCCCCUCGGUGGACACGUGGGCAGAUGCAGGAGCCCAUAGCCCGCAGUCCAGGAGUCCAGACGGGGCAUCACUCUGUGCCCACCUGCCCCACCAUCCUGGGCCCCUGAGGGACUUGUCUCCCGCAGGAACUGCCUGGCACCUGCUUUCCAGCAUCCUGGCGGUACCGAAUGUCCAUGGCAGACAACAGAGGCCACGGCAGCCCAUGGAGACACAGCCCUGUCACAGGCUGUGCUGGGUCCACUCCAGGCCCCACCUGGCCUGACAACUGGGGAUUGGGCUGAGUACAGCCCGGAGAGGUGAGCAGAGCUUGCUCUGCUUCCUGGUGCCACGACCUGGGCUGCUUUCCUCCACCAAGCCCUGACGCCACGAUGCUCUGCCUCGCCUCAGGCCCAGAGCAACG